ACAAGGCGCGGCCAAGAGCUCCUUCACACGUGCAGACAAAGAGACCUAACAACACAACCAAAAUAUGCACUUUCAAACUUUUUGCACCCAGAUAAUCUCGCAUGGAAACACAGACAAAUGCAACGCUGGACCCAGGCCGCACUCACCGCAAAUAUGGAAUGCUCAUAUUUUGGAUGGAAAUAGCUCUUGGAUGGAUUUUAGGGGAUUUACCAGUGACAUUUUGGCAAAGAAGCCCCCUGGAAUAGUGGAAUACUGCUGCGCAGCGACAUUUGGAUUACAAUCUCCUCCGGCAACUGGAAUAUGAACAUCAGCUUGAAGUGAUAGCCUACUCUAAUCGCCUGAGACUCAGACGCUCUAUAAAAGCCGUGGAGCCAAAACCCAAAGCGCGGUUUGAAUCAUUUGAGCCCGAGAGAGCGGUUUUCUUCCACGCCUCCUCCUGUACUUACUGCACUGAAAGACAGCCCUGGGCCCUGGGAAAGUCCCCCUCAGAACCGUGACCGGGAGUCAUGCAGCCAAUGAAUGUGGCUAUUCACCAACGCAUCACCAUAGAGAUGGACGUGGCCCUGACCCUGCCUGCCCCUGACCCUGAGGCCAGGACACUUCGCUUCACUUUGGCCCCCUCUUCAUGCGCCAGUGGCUGGAGAAGAGGAUGUGUUCCUCUGUGGCUCUGUCCGACGGCAGACGGGCAUUCAUCAUCAGACCAACGGAUGUGAAGACCAGAGGACAGAGAGAGAGAGAGAGAGAGAGAGAGAGAGAGAGAGAGAGAGAGAGAGAGGGAGGAGGAGGAGAAGCGAAAAGGAGAGGUGCGGAAGGCAGAAGAAAAGAGAUGGAGACAGAAGGACAGGAGGAAGAGUGUGCCAACGAAUAGUGAGGAAGUAGUUGGAGAAUGAGAGAUUCAUGAGACAGAUGGAUGGAGGGAUGGAGGAGAUGAAAGGAUGGAAGGAUGGAGGGGAUGGUGUUUUCCUGGUGUGAGAGGUGCUCCAGUCUCCAGAUGAAGGCAUCUACAAACUGUGGGGUGUUGGGGUAAUUGUAUGAGCCCCCAACCCCAACCAAGCUCUAGAGGCCCCCCGUAAACAAGGGCCCUAUUGAGGGAGGGGGUGGAGGUGUGGGGGGUGGUAGCCAUGUCUUCAUGGUCUAUCAAUAUCCCCACCACUGUGGGGUGUCAGACCACGGUGAACUUUGACCCUCAUGUCUCCUUACUCCACCCUUGAUGUCUUGUUUUCAGAAAUGACCCUUGACCCCCUUUGUGUCUCCUAUCCGGUAUUGGGCAGGAUAGUGUGUGUGUGUGUGUGUGUGUGUGUGUGUGCGCGUGCAUGCGGGUGCGCACGCUUGUGUGUGUGUGUGUAUGCUUGGGAAGGGGCAGGUGUUCCUUAGGGUAAAAAAACCCUAACAACCCUAACAAAGAAGUAAGUAAACGUAGAACUCACUGAUGGACAUAGAACAGAACACAUCUCUGUUCAGUGCAGAACACAUCUCUAUCCGGUACAGAGCUGUGGAAAAGAACACAUUCUCUUCAUCAUUCCCUUCAAUAACCUCAUGACCACAGGCAGAAAAGAACUAUGCAUUAUUCAACAAGGAAAACUAAUGUGCCUCUAUGUAUUUGAGAAAUAAUUCUGCCAUAGUAUUAAUGUUACAAAAAGAAAAAUCUUUUUUGUUGUGAAAGCAUUAAUGUGUUCUGUUAGAAGACCUGUUUUUUUGUGAGGCAGGUUGGAUCAGACUCUGGAUUCUGAAAGGAUUUUGGAAGACAUUUAAUCUGUUAAUCCUGUAAAAUAAAAGCCUUGAAAACACAAUUAAACACAAAGCCAAACUUUUCCGACGGCAACACAUCUGUGUCUACCCCUCCACUCUCCUCAUCCCCAAAUCAUAAAUCGAUUCUCCCUCCCUG